CUCCCCGGUCUACGUCAAGGUCAAGAGCGCGGAGCCGGCUGACUGCGCCGAGGGGCCGGUGCAGUGCAAGAACGGCCUCUUGGUGAUUCCUGCAAUAACUUCAUUUUCCUGCCUUCACUCUCGGCACCUUCAAUCCAUUCUCCAUGCAGCUGCCAGCGUGAUCUUUUAAAACCUCCAGCCCACACUGUGAAGAGCCUUGUGCCCACAGCUGUGCACAUCCUGGGCUUCCUCCACACCUUGUCCAUAAACUGCCCCUCAGCUACCUUCAGACCCAGGAUACAGACGCAGCCUCCAGAAGAAUAAAUGCUCCAUUAGCAGCUGGCUGGAGCUGGCUGAGGCUCUGGCUGGUGACUCUGGCCUCUGGUGUAGACUUCCCUCAGGUGAGUGCAUGGAUGAGAGCUCUACCUUCUCCUGACUGCCCAGGCCUCAGGACAACAGAGGCCCUUCCUUCAGGCUGCAUGCAGAACAGAUGCAGGUAGCCAUGAAGCCAAAUCUGGAAGGAGAUGAUGCUUCCUCUGAAGAUCAGAGAACAGAUGCAAAAACUAUUGCUCAAGGAAAAUAAAGUGAAAACGAGGAAAAGCAAAAGAAGAUCUGGAGAGGGCUCUCACCUGACCACAAGCAUCCUGGAGCAAUGAGUUUCAGGCAGGAAGACUCAUCCUGAGCUGAGCUGCUUUUCUUGAAGUUGUGCAAGAACGUCCUGUUGGCUGGGGCAAAUUCAGUAUUUCUUUUCCUGGCCACUGUGCUGGAGCGUGAGGAAAGACUCUCCACCCUCACUCCCAGAUCCUGCAGGAGGCGUGAGAGCGGAUGGAGAUGGUGAGGAUGUCUAUUAAUAUGGUGUUUCCUGCAAAACGGUGCCCAUCUCAACCAUGGGUUGUCAACCAUCCUCGGUGUCUACAACUGCAAUUUACCUUUGAGGGCCCAUGAACUCUGAUUACCUGAAAGUCCUUAGGCCAGAAAGAGAAACCCCUGUCCCCCACCUCUCACUUUCACCUAUUUCUAGACCUUUUCUUACAGCAAUGCCUUGGCCCUCAGGAAGCAUCAGAUCUCAAACUGCAGGGUCUGGGGCUGAAGCUGAUGCUGGCAUGGGUGACUCAGAGUUCCUCUAUUAGUUCAAAUAUGUAAUAUCUUUUAGAGCCUAGGACUCAGGCUGGAGGCAAUUCCUUGGUGCCAGUUGGUUAAUACUUUAUGAAUAGUGGUGGGGGAGGGAAUGCCUUGGACUAUUAAUGUCCCCAUGGAUCUGGAUCCUGGAGAACUUCCAGUGUCCUGGAUGGAAUGUUCUGCUUGGCUCAUCUUGCCCAGAGAAGAGCCAGGAUAUGAGAAGAUGGGAGAGGGAAGGGGGAGGUGUGAAACGUGCUGGUGCUUCCUGUCCUCGUGGUGUGAUGGCUGCCCAGGCUGCUCCUUCGAGGCAGGACAGGAUUCCCAUGGGAGAUAUGAGGACCAUGGUGAUUUCCAGGCACCAGUUAUGUCCCAGAGCAUCGUGUGCCUGUGCAGUGGGGUUACUGAUAGUCCAGGCAUCAGUUCAUAUUGUCCUUUAUGGCAGAUCCUGCACAAGGGGGUUCUCUGUCUCUGGACCCACUCUGUCAGCAUGGACAUCCUUUUUCUUUUUCCCUGGUAAGGACAUCAGAAAGAAAGUUACCCCUCCAGUGUUUGGAGUCUUGGAAUCCUUGGCCUGCCUGCAGGCCUCUGAAUCCUCAGUGUGUUAGCCCAAGGUCACCUUAGGUAAAGGAACAUUUCUCCUGGUCUUCCAACACCCUGGAAAGGGAGGCUCUUCAAGAAUAGGAAAUUCUUCCUAGUAUCUAACCUUGGCCUGCAACUAUGCCAUACAUUUAAUUGUAGAAGGUAUGGAAAGUUAGGACUGUGGUGGACCCAGUUAAAUCACUGGACAGAAGCCAUGAGGCAGAGCCAGAACCAGCUUCUGGACUCCCUGCAUGGAGCUUUCUACUAUCCCAGGUUGUUGGGUCCCUUCUCAGUGGCCAAAGAUGCUAUUUUAUGAGCCUUGAGGACAUGACACUAAGUGAAAAAAGCCUGGCCAAAGGGCCACAUAGUGUAUAGUUCUAUUUAUAUGAAAUGUCCAGGAAAGACAAAAGCAUAGAGGCAGAAAGCAGACUAGUGCUGUGGGAGGAAUGGGGGAUUUGGGAGGUGAUGGCUAAGGGGUUAUGGGGUUUUGGGGGAGGUAAUAGAAAUGUUUUAAAAUUGGUUGUGAAGGUGGAUGCCCAACUCUGCGAAUACACUAAAAGGCAUCGAAUUGUAUACUUUAAAUAGGUGAAUUGUAUGCUAUGUGAAUUAUAUCUCAAUA
ensembl:lncRNA SNHG28 small nucleolar RNA host gene 28